rnacentral:rRNA from 1 species
AUUGAACGCUGGCGGCAGGCCUAACACAUGCAAGUCGAACGGUAGCACAGAGAGCUUGCUCUCGGGUGACGAGUGGCGGACGGGUGAGUAACGUCUGGGAAACUGCCCGAUGGAGGGGGAUAACUACUGGAAACGGUAGCUAAUACCGCAUAACGUCGCAAGACCAAAGUGGGGGACCUUCGGGCCUCACACCAUCGGAUGUGCCUAGAUGGGAUUAGCUAGUAGGUGGGGUAAUGGCUCACCUAGGCGACGAUCCCUAGCUGGUCUGAGAGGAUGAGCGGCCACACUGGAACUGAGACACGGUCCAGACUCCUACGGGAGGCAGCAGUGGGGAAUAUUGCACAAUGGGCGCAAGCCUGAUGCAGCCAUGCCGCGUGUAUGAAGAAGGCCUUCGGGUUGUAAAGUACUUUCAGCGGGGAGGAAGGCGGUGAAGUUAAUAACUUCACCGAUUGACGUUACCCGCAGAAGAGGCACCGGCUAACUCCGUGCCAGCCGCCGCCGUAA